GACGUAGGGUCCAAGCGUUGUCCGGAUUUACUGGGCGUAAAGAGCUCGUAGGCGGCUUGUCACGUCGAUUGUGAAAGCCCGAGGCUUAACCUCGGGUCUGCAGUCGAUACGGGCUAGCUAGAGUGUGGUAGGGGAGAUCGGAAUUCCUGGUGUAGCGGUGAAAUGCGCAGAUAUCAGGAGGAACACCGGUGGCGAAGGCGGAUCUCUGGGCCAUUACUGACGCUGAGGAGCGAAAGCGUGGGGAGCGAACCGG
rnacentral:rRNA from 1 species